rnacentral:rRNA from 2 species
GUUGACCUCGGAUCAGGUAGGAAUACCCGCUGAACUUAAGCAUAUCAAUAAGCGGAGGAAAAGAAACCAACAGGGAUUCCCCUAGUAACGGCGAGUGAAGCGGGAACAGCUCAAAUUUGAAAUCUGGCCCUUGGGUCCGAGUUGUAAUUUGCAGAGGAUGCUUUUGGUGCGGUGCCUUCCGAGUUCCCUGGAACGGGACGCCUUAGAGGGUGAGAGCCCCGUACGGUUGGCCACCAAGCCUGUGUAAAGCUCCUUCGACGAGUCGAGUAGUUUGGGAAUGCUGCUCAAAAUGGGAGGUAUAUUUCUUCUAAAGCUAAAUACUGGCCAGAGACCGAUAGCGCACAAGUAGAGUGAUCGAAAGAUGAAAAGCACUUUGAAAAGAGGGUUAAAUAGCACGUGAAAUUGUUGAAAGGGAAGGAUUUAUGACCAGACUUUUUCUGGGGGGAUCAUCCGGUGUUCUCACCGGUGCACUUCCCCCAGUUGAGGCCAGCAUCGGUUUCUGCCGGGGGAUAAAAGCUUCGGGAAUGUGGCUCCUUCGGGAGUGUUAUAGCCCGUUGCAUAAUACCCUGGCGGGGACCGAGGUUCGCGCAUUGCAAGGAUGCUGGCGUAAUGGUUAUUAAUCACCCGUCUUGAAACACGGACCAAGGAGUCGAACAUUUGUGCGAGUGUUUGGGUGUUAAACCCUCACGCGUAAUGAAAGUGAACGGAGGUGAGAGCCUUUCGGGGUGCAUCAUCGACCGAUCCUGAUGUCUUCGGAUGGAUUUGAGUAAGAGCAUAACUGUUCGGACCCGAAAGAUGGUGAACUAUGCGUGGAUAGGGUGAAGCCAGAGGAAACUCUGGUGGAGGCUCGCAGCGGUUCUGACGUGCAAAUCGAUCGUCAAAUCUGCGCAUGGGGGCGAAAGACUAAUCGAACCAUCUAGUAGCUGG